UCGAGAAUCUUCGGCAAUGGGCGCAAGCCUGACCGAGCGACGCCGCGUGGAGGACGAAGGCCUUCGGGUUGUAAACUCCUGUCGAGGGGGAGGAAGGGGAGACCUUGACCGAUCCCUGGAGGAAGCACGGGCUAAGUUCGUGCCAGCAGCCGCGGUAAGACGAACCGUGCGAACGUUAUUCGGAAUCACUGGGCUUAAAGCGCGUGUAGGCGGGCCGGCACGUCGGUACCUGAAAGCCCCCGGCUCAACCGGGGAACUGGGGCCGAUACGACCGGCCUGGAGGGGCGUAGGGGGACCUGGAACUUCCGGUGGAGCGGUGAAAUGCGUUGAGAUCGGAAGGAACGCCCGUGGCGAAAGCGAGGUCCUGGACGCCUGCUGACGCUGAGACGCGAAAGCCAGGGUAGCGAACG
rnacentral:rRNA from 1 species